GGGGUUGUAGCUCAGUGGUAGAGCACUUGCCUCGCAUUCAUGAGGCACUGGGUUUGAUCCUCAGCACCA
rnacentral:tRNA from 1 species